rnacentral:rRNA from 1 species
GCAGUCGAGCGAACAGAUAAGGAGCUUGCUCCUUUGAAGUUAGCGGCGGACGGGUGAGUAACACGUGGGUAACCUACCUAUAAGACUGGGAUAACUUCGGGAAACCGGAGCUAAUACCGGAUAACAUUUAGAACCGCAUGGUUCUAAAGUGAAAGAUGGUUUUGCUAUCACUUAUAGAUGGACCCGCGCCGUAUUAGCUAGUUGGUAAGGUAACGGCUUACCAAGGCGACGAUACGUAGCCGACCUGAGAGGGUGAUCGGCCACACUGGAACUGAGACACGGUCCAGACUCCUACGGGAGGCAGCAGUAGGGAAUCUUCCGCAAUGGGCGAAAGCCUGACGGAGCAACGCCGCGUGAGUGAUGAAGGGUUUCGGCUCGUAAAACUCUGUUAUUAGGGAAGAACAAAUGUGUAAGUAACUGUGCACAUCUUGACGGUACCUAAUCAGAAAGCCACGGCUAACUACGUGCCAGCAGCCGCGGUAAUACGUAGGUGGCAAGCGUUAUCCGGAAUUAUUGGGCGUAAAGCGCGCGUAGGCGGUUUCUUAAGUCUGAUGUGAAAGCCCACGGCUCAACCGUGGAGGGUCAUUGGAAACUGGGAAACUUGAGUGCAGAAGAGGAAAGUGGAAUUCCAUGUGUAGCGGUGAAAUGCGCAGAGAUAUGGAGGAACACCAGUGGCGAAGGCGACUUUCUGGUCUGUAACUGACGCUGAUGUGCGAAAGCGUGGGGAUCAAAACAGGAUUAGAUACCCUGGUAGUCCACGCCGUAAACGAUGAGUGCUAAGUGUUAGGGGGUUUCCGCCCCUUAGUGCUGCAGCUAACGCAUUAAGCACUCCGCCUGGGGAGUACGACCGCAAGGUUGAAACUCAAAGGAAUUGACGGGGACCCGCACAAGCGGUGGAGCAUGUGGUUUAAUUCGAAGCAACGCGAAGAACCUUACCAAAUCUUGACAUCCUUUGAAAACUCUAGAGAUAGAGCCUUCCCCUUCGGGGGACAAAGUGACAGGUGGUGCAUGGUUGUCGUCAGCUCGUGUCGUGAGAUGUUGGGUUAAGUCCCGCAACGAGCGCAACCCUUAAGCUUAGUUGCCAUCAUUAAGUUGGGCACUCUAGGUUGACUGCCGGUGACAAACCGGAGGAAGGUGGGGAUGACGUCAAAUCAUCAUGCCCCUUAUGAUUUGGGCUACACACGUGCUACAAUGGACAAUACAAAGGGCAGCUAAACCGCGAGGUCAUGCAAAUCCCAUAAAGUUGUUCUCAGUUCGGAUUGUAGUCUGCAACUCGACUACAUGAAGCUGGAAUCGCUAGUAAUCGUAGAUCAGCAUGCUACGGUGAAUACGUUCCCGGGUCUUGUACACACCGCCCG